rnacentral:rRNA from 1 species
GUCUAAGGCCAUGCCAUCCUGAACAAGCCCUAUCCCCUCUGAUCUCAGAAGCUAAGCAGGGUCGGGCCUGGUUAGUACUUGGAUGGGAGACCACUUAGGAAGAACAGGUGCUUUAGGCA